CUCAAAUAUUGUUAGGGCUCUGUGUGCAUAGACAUUAGUAACUCUUUCUGGACAGCAGGUUUUGAAUGUGGAGUAAACUGAGGAAGAGCAGAGAGAAUCCUGCAUCACUGUAGGCUAAGGUGGCUGUUGAGCAAGGAGGAAGACAGUGGAGGAUUAGAAGACUGCAAGCUUUACCCUUCAUAAAAGCACCGGCAAGCGGAAAGAAAUGACAGUAAGACUGAAUUAUGAACUUUAAAGAGUUGAGAACAAGUCAUUGCUUGUACUGUGAGACCUGCUCACUCUGCUCUGGAUUAACUGUCUGCAAUAGGUCAUUGGUUUCUGCAAUCUGCAUACAUGGAAACCUCGGUGUGAGCAGAACAUUGAAGAUCAGAAUGAAUAUUUAGUCUCCGGAGAACUGGUCUUCCAUCUUUAUGUGGACUAUCGUGUGAGGGAGGUGAUUAAAUAAAUCUAUUGAGAGUAUUUACACUUCAGUUAUGUCAGGGCCACACAUACAUUGUGUCUGUCUCUACAUGUGACAGAAUACUGCCUUCUCUAGGUUUGAUUGUCAUGAUUUGUUUAUUAUUAUCACUAUUAUCCAUGAAUAAAACCUCUUUCUGCAUACCUGA